UACAGAGGUCCCAAGCGUUGUUCGGAUUCACUGGGCGUAAAGGGUGCGUAGGUGGUUUGUUACGUCCGCUGUGAAAUCCUAGGGCUUAACCCUGGGCUUGCAGUGGAUACGGGCAGACUAGAGGUAGGUAGGGGAGAAUGGAAUUCCUGGUGUAGCGGUGAAAUGCGCAGAUAUCAGGAGGAACACCGAUGGCGAAGGCAGGUCUCUGGGCUGACACUGACGCUCAUGCACGAAAGCGUGGGGAGCAAACAGG
rnacentral:rRNA from 1 species